rnacentral:rRNA from 1 species
GUCCACGCCGUAAACGAUGGAUACUAGGUGUGGGGGGACUGACCCCCUCCGUGCCGCAGCAAACGCAAUAAGUAUCCCACCUGGGGAGUACGAUCGCAAGGUUGAAACUCAAAGGAAUUGACGGGGGCCCGCACAAGCGGUGGAGUAUGUGGUUUAAUUCGAAGCAACGCGAAGAACCUUACCAGGGCUUGACAUCCUGCUAACGAGGUAGAGAUACGUUAGGUGCCCUUCGGGGAAAGCAGAGACAGGUGGUGCAUGGUUGUCGU